UGAUAGCGUUGAAGCGGAGGUUGCCGCUUAAGCAAAUAAGCGGGUUUUUCGUGGAGCGAAUGUCAAUUAAUAAUAACUGGCGACAA
rnacentral:ncRNA from 1 species